rnacentral:misc_RNA from 1 species
UCUCCGUAGGUGAACCUGCGGAGGGAUCAUUACAGAGUUCUCGCCCUCACGGGUAGAUCUCCCACCCACUGUUAUCGUUACUGUCGUUUCUUUGGCGGGCCGCCGGGUCCCCGGCCGCCGGCGCCUAGCUGCCGGCGCGCGCCCGCCAGAGGCCUUCAAACUCUGAAUGUUAGUGUCGUCUGAGUUCUAUACAAUAGUUAAAGCUUUCAACAACGGAUCUCUUGGUUCUG